ACAGGAUCAAUGCACUGGAUCUUCUCGGUGUGACAUGUUUACUCAUGCACCAUCUGAAGGAGCUUCCCUGGAGGCUCAGUGGCGAAGAAUCUCCCUGCCAAUACAGGAGACGCAGGUUCACUCUCUACAUCAGGAAGAUCCCCUGGAGAAGGAAAUGGCAAUCUGUUCCAGUAUUCUUGCCUGGGAAGUCUCAUGGACAGAGGAACCUGGUGGGCUACAGUCCAUGGGGUUGCAAAAGAGUUGGACAUGACUUAGGGACUAAACAGCAGCAAAAUAGGCAAGGCAUGGGAAGGCACUGUAAGAGAACUGAAGUACACUGUCAUUCCUGCCAUAACC
ensembl:lncRNA